rnacentral:rRNA from 1 species
UACGUAGGUGGCGAGCGUUGUCCGGAAUUACUGGGCGUAAAGGGUGCGUAGGCGGAAAUUUAAGUCAGAUGUGAAAGCCCGGAGCUUAACUUCGGGAUUGCAUUUGAAACUGGGUUUCUAGAGUGCAGGAGAGGAAAGCGGAAUUCCUAGUGUAGCGGUGAAAUGCGUAGAUAUUAGGAAGAACACCAGUGGCGAAGGCGGCUUUCUGGACUGUAACUGACGCUGAGGCACGAAAGCGUGGGGAGCAAACAGG